GAGAGAGGUAAGUUGUGUCUCUUAGUCCUGUUAUCUUCCCAUAUCUUUAAAAAGGGCUUUUUAGCAAGUGCAAAGUGAGGCAAUGAGGGGAAACCACUGAUGGGAACCAAACAAUUUUGGCAGCCAUUCCUUCUAAGUUUAUCAAAGCAGAAUUCAGCCUUGGGACCAUAAGCAUUACCACUGCUCCAUUGAAAAAGGCAUAAGGGGAGGUGGCAUCUCCCUAGUUGUGGUAAGGAAGAUGGAACACCUGAGAGGGGAUCCAGGAACCACAGUCCCCCUCUACAGCUGUAGCACUUAAUUAUCUGAGUAAUCAUUUUCAGAAUUAGCUUCUAUUAUGUACCCAAGCCUGAUCUCUGGCGCAUGGCAUGAGCAAUUUAACACAGAUUGAGGUUGGUGCCAGGCAACUUCAGUCUGAUUAGAUGGGAAGAAGAAAUGUACUUCUUUCCCCCUCUUCAGCUGUUCUGAAAGCAAUCUUUCGUAAUGCAAUUGAAAUGCCUAGUCGAUUUCAUUGUGCUUGAAAAUUAAAAAGCAGCCAGUGAGCUUCAAGCCCUUACGAGGGUUCACUGGGAUCGUGUGCCACUUGGUAUGAAGGGGCAGAGGACACUGCCUGCAGAGCAGUCCCUGUGCACCAGUGGAACUCCACCUCCCCUGAGAGGACUCAGAGCACAGCAGCCCCGUGCAUCCCAUGCCAUCUCCUUGCCCAAGGGGCUUUAUCAGGUGGUGUGGGGGCUUUUCAUGCUACAGCCAGCAGGAUAUCUGCCUUUAACAGGUGAAUUGUCUUCUGUACGGUGCUGGCAUAGGCUGAGCCAGGAUUCUGCUCCAAAAAGUGGGGUCUGGACACUUAUUGCUGCAUAUAUAUGGUACUUAUGCUUCAAGACUGAUGGUUACGCUCAACGUAUUAAUCAGGAAAUCAGAGAAUCAUUACGGUUGGAAAAGCCCACAAAGAUCAUCCAGUCCAACCAUCAGCCCACCCCCACCGUGCCCACUGACCACUGCCCACAGUGCCACAUCUGCCCUUUUCUUAAACACCUCCAGGGAUGGUGACUCCAUCCCUCCCUGGGCAGCCUGUGCCAAUGCCUCACCAUUCUUACUGAGAAGAAAUUCUUCCUCAUAUCCAACCUGAACCUCCCCUGGUGCAACUUGAGGCCCGUUCCCUCUCAUCACUGUUACCUGGGAGCAGAGGCCAACCCCACCUCACCACAACCUCCUUCAGGCAGCUGUAGAGAUACAGCUGUAGAGAUACAAUAAGGUCUCCCCUGAGCCUCCUCCAGCUGAACAAUCCCAGUUCCCUCAGCCCCUCCCUGUAAGACUUGUGCCAAGGUUGAACAGCAAGUCUACCCCAAAAGCUGAGCCCUGUGCAAGGCAUAAAAUGUUCUUGUGCUCAAACCUAAUGUACCAGGCCUUUUCUUCUUUGUUCUUCCUUUAAUUCCCCCCCCCCUUUCCCCCCUUGAAGCCUCAUUGUGCUUUAAUUCCCUUCCCAUUGCCCCCUUCCACCCCCGGCUCUUUCUGUCUCUUCAGGCCUCCCUUCCCCUGGAUCGUUUCCCAGGCCUGGUUUGUAACGAAAGGCGUUUCGUUAAUUAGGAGUUCUUGGGAUGGAUCCUAAAAUGAGCGCGUGAGGCUGAGAACCGCAGCGCUGCUCACAGCGAGGGGAACUCAGCCCGAACCGUCGGUGUGUGGAAGCCCGGGGAGUGAAAACGGGGAACGUUCAGGGAUGAAGAGCAGAUAGAACCGAGAGCAGCGGAGCUGAGCAGCUCUGUGUGCGCUCUGGGCUGCGGGGCUCCGGGCUGCACCCGCUGCUGCCAUCUCCUGGGCGCGGGGAGCGGAGCGCUGUUGGGCGGUGCGGAGGGUUUCCCUUCUUCUUCCUCGAAAGCUUUCCCACCGGAACGCAGCCGUGCCGAGCUCUGUGAGCUUAUUGUACCAAAACCUGGUGCUUUCUCGGGGAAGCACGGGAUUGCUUAGUGAUUUUGCGCUGCAAAUUGCGUUCCGGUCCCACUGUGCUGU
ensembl:lncRNA